GUCAGUGGUCUAAUUUGUCUAAUGUCCUUCACCAGAUAGCCUCGAGUCCAACCCAAGCACUAGGCAACAGUGGCGCUUCUAUGGCUUUCUGACUGGCUACCUAACCUCCAUCUCUGGGCACCGCUGUGGAGUCUUCCAGAAUCUCACAAUCCAGGAGGUUGAAGAGGCCUCCAGAAGCCCCGACGAGUCUGCUUAUGUCAUUAACAGCCAGUCCUUGUCGGACCCUGAACAAGUACUUUCAGUCUGCUUGGGUCAGUAUGGGCCUUCCAGGCAAACCCACCUUUACUGACGUACGGACUGCGAUCGCGACCCAUGCAAAGAAUGCACACUCUUCAGAGGAUCGCCGCAAGGUGGUGCAAUUCAUGUGCCAUGACACUUCAACCUCAGAUAAGUUCUACGCA